rnacentral:rRNA from 1 species
ACGGGUGAGUAACACGUGGGUAAUCUGCCCUGCACUUCGGGAUAAGCCUGGGAAACUGGGUCUAAUACCGGAUAUUCAGAUUCUGCCGCAUGGUGGUUUCUGGAAAGUUUUUCGGUGCAGGAUGUGCCCGCGGCCUAUCAGCUUGUUGGUGGGGUAAUGGCCUACCAAGGCGACGACGGGUAGCCGGCCUGAGAGGGUGAUCGGCCACAUUGGGACUGAGACACGGCCCAGACUCCUACGGGAGGCAGCAGUGGGGAAUAUUGCACAAUGGGCGCAAGCCUGAUGCAGCGACGCCGCGUGAGGGAUGACGGUCUUCGGAUUGUAAACCUCUUUCAGUAGGGACGAAGCGAAAGUGACGGUACCUGCAGAAGAAGCACCGGCCAACUACGUGCCAGCAGCCGCGGUAAUACGUAGGGUGCGAGCGUUGUCCGGAAUUACUGGGCGUAAAGAGCUCGUAGGCGGUUUGUCACGUCGUCUGUGAAAUCCUACAGCUUAACUGUGGGCGUGCAGGCGAUACGGGCAGACUUGAGUACUACAGGGGAGACUGGAAUUCCUGGUGUAGCGGUGAAAUGCGCAGAUAUCAGGAGGAACACCGGUGGCGAAGGCGGGUCUCUGGGUAGUAACUGACGCUGAGGAGCGAAAGCAUGGGUAGCGAACAGGAUUAGAUACCCUGGUAGUCCAUGCCGUAAACGGUGGGCGCUAGGUGUGGGUUUCCUUCCACGGGAUCCGUGCCGCAGCUAACGCAUUAAGCGCCCCGCCUGGG